rnacentral:misc_RNA from 1 species
ACAAACCUCUGGAGAAUUACCAUGUACUGUUUGUUUUUUGAGAUAUCAGAUACCGGUCUUUUACAGACUUGUUUGGUAUAUAGCUCUCUGAGUGUUACAUUUGAUGCUUAUUAGAGAUUGUAGGUUAAAGAUACUGCCCGAGAUUGUUAAACAAGGAAAAAGAGAAAAAUAGUUUAGUUGACAUCAAAAUCCAUUUAUAUUUGUAACAUCUGUCAUUGAGAAGAACAGUGGGUAAAAAAUCAUAUCACAAAACUGUUCCACUGGAAGCCAUUUGUAAAUAUUGCAUCAUCAUGAUAACUCUCAUGUCAUCAGCAUUGGUUGUAAAGAGUAAGAAACAUUAUUUCUAUUCAUGUUUUCUCAUUUGUUUUUUCCCUGUAUAAUUUUAUUUAUUGUAUCUAUUUAUAUUUCAUAUAUAAUAUUUAUACUUGGUAUCAAGACAUGUUUGUAAGACUAAGGGAAAUAAUCUCUGUUGAUGAUCUGUUGAUAUUUUAAGCAACAGUAUUACAUUUUAAUAUACUGAACUUUUUAUAUUUGAUAAUGUUACCAUAAACUCCUUACUUUGAGGGUUGGAGGGAAAUAAUUAAAAACAAGAUGUUUUAAAGGGGAAAAUGUUUAACUUUGUAGACCAUAGAAAUAUCAUGAAGUUUCAUAAAUCUCCUUUGCCAUUUUUUAAAAGUAUUGAAUUUUAUAAAUGGAUUUUACACUGCGAUGAAGUAUAGUGGAUGCUAAUUUUAUUGGGGGAGGGGGGGGGGGGGGACUUGUCAGAAACACAGACAAAUACAAGUGUUAUUAGAUAUUUAGAAAGGGUCAUUACAGAGCACCAAAUAGUAGGGGUAUUAAACUGGUGUUUGUAUCCCCCUUUUUACUUAGCAUGACAUUUUACUACUUACUUGCAAUUAUGAAGAUACGCAAUCUUUGUUCAUUGUUAUCAUAGAGUAUUAAGUUUAUUCUGUAAAUAUGGUAGAUAUUUCUACAGCAUUCAAACAGGGUUGCAGAUGCAUAAGUUUAUCAAAAUCUUUCUAGAUUGACAGUACCAUUGGCUGUGUUUUUGCCAGGACAUAACUCUAUGCACACACUGUCCUCUUUCAUGUUGUAGCCCAUCGCGUUCAUCAGUUGUACUUCAAUAAAUUUUAUAUAUAAGUG